ACAGUUUCUGUUGUAGAGUUCUCAAGCCGGCCACCUAGAGGUGGUGUACGGCGUAGCUGGAUACAGGCAGAGUGGGUCCGUUUGGGCAGUCCGGGUGAAAUAGUGAGAUUGAGUCAGUUUUGACAUUUACUACAGUUGGUUAGAGUAGAGCAGGAUAGUGUAGUGACUUUUAGCUGUAGUUUCUUUUCAGCUUUUCCUACUAUCUUUGCUUCCUCUUGUAGACUUAGUGGGUGGACCGACGGUAUUGAAAGCGGCACCCACUGAGGACUACUUGUUUUUAUAGUAGUUCUUACGCCCUGUUGUUACUAUUCUUUUUGCAGAGCCAUCGGUUACGGCUGUUGCAGCUUCUGAGGCAGAUCGUGGCAAGGGCGUCGCGAGCUAGA
rnacentral:lncRNA from 1 species